AAUAUUGGACAAUGGGGGCAACCCUGUUCCAGCCCUGCCGCGCGUGUGAAGAAGGUCUUCGGCUUGUAAAACACUUUAAGUUGGGAGGAAGGGCUUUAGGUUAAUACCCUGAAGUUUUGACGUUACCAACAGACUAAGAACCGCCUAACUCUGUGCCAGCAGCCGCGGUAAUACAGAGGGUGCAAGCGUUAAUCGGAAUUACUGGGCGUAAAGCGCGCGUAGGUGGUUCAGUAAGAUGGGUGUGAAAUCCCCGGGCUUAACCUGGAGACUGCUUUCAUAACUGCUGGGCUGGAGUACAGUAGAGGGUAGUGGAAUUUCCUGUGUAGCGGUGAAAUGCGUAGAUAUAGGAAGGAACACCAGUGGCGAAGGCGACUACCUGGACUGAUACUGACACUGAGGUGCGAAAGCGUGGGGAGCAAA
rnacentral:rRNA from 1 species